rnacentral:rRNA from 1 species
GACGAACGCUGGCGGCGUGCCUAAUACAUGCAAGUAGAACGCUGAAACUUGGUGCUUGCCCCGAGCGGAUGAGUUGCGAACGGGUGAGUAACGCGUAGGUAACCUGCCUGGUAGCGGGGGAUAACUAUUGGAAACGAUAGCUAAUACCGCAUAAGAGUAGAUGUUGCAUGACAUUUGCUUAAAAGGUGCAAUUGCACCACUACCAGAUGGACCUGCGUUGUAUUAGCUAGUUGGUGGGGUAACGGCUCACCAAGGCGACGAUACAUAGCCGACCUGAGAGGGUGAUCGGCCACACUGGGACUGAGACACGGCCCAGACUCCUACGGGAGGCAGCAGUAGGGAAUCUUCGGCAAUGGACGGAAGUCUGACCGAGCAACGCCGCGGGAGUGAAGAAGGUUUUCGGAUCGUAAAGCUCUGUUGUAAGAGAAGAACGAGUGUGAGAGUGGAAAGUUCACACUGUGACGGUAUCUUACCAGAAAGGGACGGCUAACUACGUG